rnacentral:tRNA from 1 species
UCUCUGUUAGUAUAUCGGUUAGUACACGCGCCUGUCACUACAAUGUGUAACGACCGCGCGAAAGCGGGGUUCGACUCCCCGACAGAGAG